rnacentral:rRNA from 1 species
ACGUAGGUGGCAAGCGUUGUCCGGAAUUACUGGGUGUAAAGGGAGCGUAGGCGGGAUGCCAAGUCAGCUGUGAAAACUAUGGGCUUAACCUGUAGACUGCAGUUGAAACUGGUAUUCUUGAGUGAAGUAGAGGUUGGCGGAAUUCCGAGUGUAGCGGUGAAAUGCGUAGAUAUUCGGAGGAACACCGGUGGCGAAGGCGGCCAACUGGGCUUUAACUGACGCUGAGGCUCGAAAGUGUGGGGAGCAAACAGGAUUAGAUACCCUGGUAGUCCACACUGUAAACGAUGAUAACUAGGUGUGGGGGGUCUGACCCCUUCCGUGCCGCAGCUAACGCAAUAAGUUAUCCACCUGGGGAGUACGACCGCAAGGUUGAAACUCAAAGGAAUUGACGGGGACCCGCACAAGCAGUGGAUUAUGUGGUUUAAUUCGAAGCAACGCGAAGAACCUUACCAGCACUUGACAUCCGACUAACGAAGUAGAGAUACAUUAGGUGCCCUUCGGGGAAAGUCGAGACAGGUGGUGCAUGGUUGUCGUCAGCUCGUGUCGUGAGAUGUUGGGUUAAGUCCCGCAACGAGCGCAACCCCUGCCAUUAGUUGCUACGCAAGAGCACUCUAAUGGGACCGCUACCGACAAGGUGGAGGAAGGUGGGGACGACGUCAAAUCAUCAUGCCCCUUAUGUGCUGGGCUACACACGUAAUACAAUGGCCAUCAACAAAGAGAAGCAAUACCGCGAGGUGGAGCAAAACUUCAAAAAUGGUCUCAGUUCGGACUGCAGGCUGCAACCCGCCUGCACGAAGUUGGAAUUGCUAGUAAUCGUGGAUCAGCAUGCCACGGUGAAUACGUUCCCGGGUCUUGUACACACCGCCCGUCACACCAUGGGAGUUGGUAACACCCGAAGUCAGUAGUCUAACCGCAAGGAGGACGCUGCCGAAGGUGGGAUUGACGACUGGGGUGAAGUCGUAACAAGGUAGCCGUAUCAGAAGGUGCGGCUG